CACAAUCAAGUCGAGCGGUACAGGGGUAGCUUGCUACCCGCUGACGAGCGGCGGACGGGUGAGUAAUGCAUAGGAAUCUGCCCGAUAGUGGGGGAUAACCUGGGGAAACCCAGGCUAAUACCGCAUACGUCCUACGGGAGAAAGGGGGCUUCGGCUCCCGCUAUUGGAUGAGCCUAUGUCGGAUUAGCUAGUUGGUAAGGUAAUGGCUUACCAAGGCAACGAUCCGUAGCUGGUCUGAGAGGAUGAUCAGCCACAUCGGGACUGAGACACGGCCCGAACUCCUACGGGAGGCAGCAGUGGGGAAUAUUGGACAAUGGGGGCAACCCUGAUCCAGCCAUGCCGCGUGUGUGAAGAAGGCCCUCGGGUUGUAAAGCACUUUCAGCGAGGAAGAACGCCUAUCGGUUAAUACCCGGUAGGAAAGACAUCACUCGCAGAAGAAGCACCGGCUAACUCCGUGCCAGCAGCCGCGGUAAUACGGAGGGUGCAAGCGUUAAUCGGAAUUACUGGGCGUAAAGCGCGCGUAGGUGGCUUGAUAAGCCGGUUGUGAAAGCCCCGGGCUCAACCUGGGAACGGCAUCCGGAACUGUCAUGCUAGAGUGCAGGAGAGGAAGGUAGAAUUCCCGGUGUAGCGGUGAAAUGU
rnacentral:rRNA from 1 species